rnacentral:rRNA from 1 species
GUCCACGCAGUAAACGAUGAAUACUAGCUGUAUGCGAUAUACUGUAUGUGGCAAAGCGAAAGCGUUAAGUAUUCCACCUGGGGAGUACGUUCGCAAGAAUGAAACUCAAAGGAAUUGACGGGGGCCCGCACAAGCGGAGGAACAUGUGGUUUAAUUCGAUGAUACGCGAGGAACCUUACCCGGGCUUGAAAUGCAUCUGACCGAUCUGGAAACGAUUUUCAGCAAUAGCAGAUGUGUAGGUGCUGCAUGGUUGUCGU